rnacentral:rRNA from 1 species
ACGAAGGGGGCUAGCGUUGCUCGGAAUCACUGGGCGUAAAGGGCGCGUAGGCGGCCAUUCAAGUCGGGGGUGAAAGCCUGUGGCUCAACCACAGAAUUGCCUUCGAUACUGUUUGGCUUGAGUUUGGUAGAGGUUGGUGGAACUGCGAGUGUAGAGGUGAAAUUCGUAGAUAUUCGCAAGAACACCAGUGGCGAAGGCGGCCAACUGGACCAACACUGACGCUGAGGCGCGAAAGCGUGGGGAGCAAACAGG